GGACUUGAUAUGCUGUGUUAAUGAUAUGUUCAAACAAACAUCACCAUUUUGAUUGAUUUUGCUAUAAAUUGGGCUAUAGAAGCAGAUGAAUUUUUAUUUUUUGUUUUGGAGAGAUGGGUUUGUUGGGAGAGAAAUGAAGUUUGCCGAUAAAAAGGAUAGAAAUGGAGUUUGACGAGAGAGGGAGAGAAGGUGGGAACUGGGUCUGUAGUCAAAGAAAGAGAUAUGGGAAUGAUUAAUUGGAAAAAAACGAAAAGGGACGAGGUCUAUGUAGGGUCGCCGUUUAGUUGGUUUUGUUCAAACGACAUUGUUGGAUUUAAAGUUUAUAGGUUGCAAGACAUGCCUGGUUUUUUGCCCUUGGAUGAGUUAGUUUGUGUGUUGUCGCCCUUCAUCCAAACCUUGACAUGAUCAUUACAGGGAAAAUCAUGAGAGAGGAUCCGCAACUGAGGGCCUAAGCUGUCCUACCCUUCUGAUUAUCAGAUGCAACACUUCACCUUCAAAAUGGAAACCUAUUCUGCCUGGUUUGUUUAGAUUUAAUGUCACCGGAUCUUCUCCUAGCUAGGUCUUGCUGGUGUAGCUGGAAUUUUCUGAAUUAUGAGUGCCAUGAAGAGAUCACUAAAGCGCAAGACCUUCUAGAGGAUAGUCAGCAUUUGCUGCAUUUAAGUUCUGCAAAGUGACGUUUUUGGCUUACAAGUGAGAUUAACAUUGCAACUGAUGAGUUAGCUAAGAUGGAACAAGAACAAUAUAAGCCGUAAAUGGUAACUUUCUAUUUUUUGGUCCACUUUUUGAAUGUUACAACUGUUGGUUACAUAUAUCAAGGGGGCUAUGUCUCUAUAGGCACUUUGUUACUAUCAAACUUCUGAAACUUCCCUUUUGCUUAAUAUAAGCCACGUUUUGUUCGUUGGCUGUAUGGAUUUGUAUAAAUGGUAAAAUCCUCACUUGGCUUCGGCAUACCUUUAGAAAUAUAUGUCAAGACAGCGAGUGUUCUAGAUGCCAGAUGCAUGUAGAGGAUAUGCACCAUUUAUUCAUUGGUUGGUGCUUUGAUUUGAGACUUUUGGACUAACUUCACAGUUUCAGCUUCGAGGGACACUAAACAGUUACAGGAAGCCAGAACCCAUGAUUAGAAGGAAGCCUUGGAAUGUUUUUUAUGUGUUGUUCUUCUAUGAUAGUUAUGGUUGAGUAGAAACAAAAGAAAAGUGUUUGACAAUCUGGACAGCGCUAAGCACAAAACUGAGAC